rnacentral:rRNA from 1 species
AUAUUAUAGAGUUUGAUCCUGGCUCCGAAUGAACGCUAGCAAGAAGCUUAACACAUGCAAGUCGAACGGAAUUCUGCUGAAUUUCCGUGGCGAACGGGUGAGUAACACGUGAGAAUCUACCUUUAAAUUGGGCAUAAGACUAUAUGUUAAAUUCCUGAUAAAUUAUAUAAAGCCAAAGAGCGUUUAAAGAUGAGCUCGCGGAGGAUUAGGUAGUUGGUAAGGUAAAAGCUUACCAAGCCGAAGAUCCUUAGCGGAUUUGAGAGGAUGAUCCGCCACACUGGAACUGAGACACGGUCCAGACACUUUCGAGUGGCAGCAGUGAGGAAUAUUGGACAAUGGGCGAAAGCCUGAUCCAGCUAUCUUGCUUGAGGGAAGAAGGCGUUUUUUGUCGUAAACCUCUGCCUUAAACCGAGAAUGGUGACGUAGGUUUAAGUAAUAGUCCCGGCUAACUUCGUGCCAGCAGCCGCGGUAAUACGAGGGGGGCGAGCGUUAUUCAAAAUGAUUGGGCGUAAAGAGCAUGUAGGCUGAUUAUAUAGCUUGUUUCUGAAAUAUUUAAUAAAUAUUUUAUUGUAGAUACUUAAAACUUCGUUUUAGGGAAUGAUAAAGUCCUACUGGAAAGUAGGUAACUCAUAACAAGAGCUAAUCUAGAGUAAGUGAGAGGAUAAUGGAAUUCCUGAAGUAGAGGUGAAAUUCGUAGAUAUCAGGAGGAAGGCCGAAUGCGAAGGCAAUUAUCUGGCGCUUAACUGACGCUGAGAUGCGAAGGCGUGGGGAUCAAAAGGGAUUAGAGACCCCAGUAGUCCACGCAGUCAACGAUGAAGAUUCAUCUUUAGUUUUUACUCCAAGUAUUAAUUAGAGGUCUAGCUAACGCGUUAAAUCUUCCGCCUGAGGAGUACGACCGCAAGGUUAAAACUCAAAGGAAUAGACGGGGGCUCAAACAAGUGGUGGAACAUGUGGUUUAAUUCGAAACAACGCGCAAAACCUUACCAGUCCUUGACAUAACUUGAGAACUCGAUUUUUAUCAAUUUAGUAUGCCAGUUACAGGUGUUGCAUGGCUGUCGUCAGCUCGUGUCGUGAGAUGUUUGGUUAGUUCCUUUAACGAGCGUAACCCUCUUGAAAAGUUGUUCGGAAUCUUAGUACAGAUUCUUUCCUUUUUUCAAACUGCCAGUGAUAUACUGGAGGAAGGUGGGGAUGACGUCAAGUCCUCAUGACCCUUAUGGACUGGGCUACACACGUGUUACAAUGGUAGGCACAAUAGGAGGCAAUGAUGCGAAUCGGAGCGAAUCCUAAAAACCUAUCUUAGUCCGGAUUGCUCUCUGCAACUCGAGAGCAUGAAGUUGGAAUCACUAGUAAUCGUGGAUCAGCACGCCACGGUGAAUUUGUACCUGGGCCUUGUACUCCCCGCCCGUCACGCUCUGGGAGUUUAAAGGGUCCGAAGAUUCGUGUCGGUUAUAAAAGCCAAAGGUUCAUUUAGCUUUCAAAGAAAGCACGAACCUUUGCACAAUAUAAUUAAACGGAUUCAAGAUCAGUUAAAUAACUGGAGCGAAGUCGUAACAAGGUAGCCGUAGGGGAACCUGCGGCUGGAUUGACUCAUU